rnacentral:rRNA from 1 species
AACGAACGCUGGCGGCGUGCUUAACACAUGCAAGUCGAACGCGAAAGGGACUUCGGUCCUGAGUAAAGUGGCGCACGGGUGAGUAACACGUGGAUAAUCUACCCAGUGUUCCGGGAUAACAUCUCGAAAGGGGUGCUAAUACCGGAUAAGCCCACGGGAGCUUCGGUUCUUGCGGGAAAAGGUGGGGACCUUUUAGGCCUACUGUCACUGGAUGAGUCCGCGGCCCAUUAGCUAGUUGGUAGGGUAAUGGCCUACCAAGGCUACGAUGGGUAGCUGGGCUGAGAGGAUGAUCAGCCAAACUGGAACGGAGACACGGGCCAGACUCCUACGGGAGGCAGCAGUGGGGAAUUUUGCGCAAUGGGCGAAAGCCUGACGCAGCACCGCCGCGGUAGUGAUGAAGGCCUUCGGGUCGUAAAGCUCUGUCAGAGGGGAAGAACCUCCUGGGGGAUAAUAACCCUCAGGCCUGACGGUACCCUCAAAGGAAGCACCGGCUAACUCCGUGCCAGCAGCCGCCGCAGUAA